AAAAAAAAGUUACCCAACACAUACCCAACACAUGUCCAGAUGGGUAUUUACUUGUGCAAAGCCUCGCAAUUAGUUUUGGUUACUUGCUGGCAAAUGGUGCGAAUACUCACACACCAUUUGGAAAAUAUGCAACCUUUCAGACCAGUAAAACAAUAAUAUCAAAAAUAUUUUAAAGUCAAAACAGGAUUUGCUGAGUCUCCACUUUGUUUCCACAAUUGAAAUAAGUAGGAUAUACAAUUUGGCUCAAGUUUUUCUCUACCAUAUAUCUACAAGGACGUGUAACGGUAAAAAUACUGGUUUAAUGGUAAAGUAAACCUGGUAAAAUUAGCAAAUGCAGGGUCCUCAUCGACACUAGUGCGGAGAAUACCCAUGGAUGCUUGCGUUCUCUGCAGUAAACUUCUGUUUCCAAUGAGAGUUGUCCGAGCUUUAUCAAUCAAGUCCGGCAUAUCAAAUUUUAAAUCAAGAUCACUAAAUUGCCUCCACCUCAUCUUAUUUUUUUAAGCCACCUAGACCAUGUUUACUCUCCUUGUUUCUCUUUGCAUUUAGUACUUAGGAUAUGGAACUUCUCCACUAGCUUGAAACCAUAGACAACAAGAAUCUCCAUUCAGGAUAGAAAAUACCAAAUACUUGAUUACUGUGUUCUCGUCUUUAAAACACCAAAUUGAAAUAAAUACAAUAAUUAAUCAUUAUUUAUACAUAUGCUACUCAUUGCCUUCAAUUACACAUACACAGCAUCCAAACAGAAGAAAACGAGUACCUCUUUGGCAGAAAGAAGCUUGCGGCACUGUUCUUUCAGUGUAGUAAGAUCCUCCUGCAUCUUCUUUAUCCUAUUAACUAGCUUUAUAGGAUUUGCCUUUUUUUUUUCCGCUAAUUACAAACCUCCUCACCAUCAUCAAGCUUGAUUCAACUCGUAGCAACCCCAAAACUCACUUGUAAUCACGCGAAGAGAAACUCGAGAGAGCCUGAAACUGUCAGUCACAAAUCCUCCAUCUUCGGUCACCUCUCGCAGCUAACACCACCUCUAGAAGCAUCCACAGUUUCCAUCUCCCUCUUUCUAACCCCAACACACCCCAAACCAGUCUCAAAUUGUGAAGGAAAUUGAGAGAAAGGAAAAGAACCCAAACUUGCCAUUUUCAAAUCCCUCAACUCCCUGCUGGCGCCUCCAAGAAAUUCCCUCGACUUUGCAAGGCCACCUGUAACCUCCCUUUGCCUUUGGUAUGGCUUGAAUCUUCAUUGGGUUAACAAAUUAGAAAGUUGUAAGUGGGAAACUUUGGACAUUCGAAUUGCAUGAACUAGAGCUCCCCUGAGUGCGUAAGCACCACCAACGAGCUCCCCUCGCCAUCAUGAACUUCUGAAUCCUUUUUCGCAUUUGUCCAAUGAACCUCCAUCAAGGAUUGGUCAUGCUUCGACAACUUUCCGGCGAAGCCUUGUCUCGCCAUUUCAAACGCAUUCCAGAUAUUUAUUUAAAACCCUUUAAAAUUCUUAACAACUUCCUCGCGAAGUCUACCGCUAACAACUUCCUCGCGAAGUCAUCAUGCAGCGGGUCUGUGGGCCCAGACCAGACCAGUCUCCGUGGGUACAGUUUCACACGGUCCAGCAUAUAAUCCUUUCCGGACAGCCAUAGCAGCAAAUCUCUUCUUAAAUGUAUAAAGUUAGCAAAGAGCAUCUCCUUUUUCUUUAUUUAUUUUCUGCUUAAUAUUUUUCUUCAACAUCAAGCAUUUAACUAUCAUCUCUACUCCAUCAAAAUCCUGUUUUCUGCUUCUUUAGUCUUUUCUAUUUUCUCUGUGUCACUACAAUGGGGAAGGAGGCAAAUCCCAGUGGCACUGUGAAACCGGUUUCGACUAUCGGUUCAUCUUUCAUUCCCAUAAUCAAUAAGCUACAGGACAUCAUUGCUCCUUUUAGCGGAGGCGGCGAAGUUUUACAGAUAUCGCUGCCACAGGUGGCUGUGGUUGGUAGUCAGAGCAGUGGGAAGUCUAGCGUGCUUGAAGCUCUUGUUGGCCGCGACUUUCUUCCUCGUGGCUGUGAUAUUUGCACUCGAAGACCACUCAUUUUGAUGCUGGAGAAUAGGUCGCCUAUUCCUGAUGAUGAUGACACUGAGUGGGGCGAGUUUCUACACAUGCCUGGCAAGCGGUUCUAUGAUUUCUCCAAAAUUCGCAGAGAGAUUCAGGCUGAGACUGAAAGAGAAGCAGGAUUUAACAAGGGAGUUUCAGAUAAACCAAUUCGUUUAAAGAUUUCUUCUCCAAAUGUUCUGAAUAUGACCCUUGUAGAUUUACCUGGCAUUACCAAGGUUCCUGUGGGAGAUCAACCGAGUGACAUAGAAGCAAGAAUUAGGAAGAUGAUAAUGGACUAUAUCAGCCAAGAAAACUGUAUCAUAUUAGCAGUUACCCCAGCCAAUUCGGAUUUGGCUACUUCUGAUGCUCUUCAGAUGGCUAGAAAUGCUGAUCCAAAGGGUUCUCGGACAGUUGGUGUAAUAACAAAGCUUGAUAUAAUGGACAGAGGAACUAAUGCAUGUAACCUUCUGCUUGGAGGAGUUGUUCCACUUCGUCUUGGUUAUGUUGGCGUUGUGAAUCGCUGUCAGGAGGAUAUUAAUUAUAAUCGGAGCAUUCGAGAUGCGCUUGUACGUGAGGAGCAGUUCUUCCGUGAUCAUCCUGUAUAUAAUGGCCUCUCUGAUCGGUGCGGAAUUCCCCAAUUAGCAAAGAAACUGAAUCAGAUCUUGGAGCAGCAUAUCAGAAUGGUUCUUCCAAAUUUGAAGGCUGAGCUGAAUUCUCGUAUGGUGGUUGUGUCGAAUGAACUGCGCACAUAUGGUGAAGACAUGGAGUCAAAAGCAGAACAAGGUGGAGGAGUCAUUCUGCUGAACAUCCUAAAAAGAUACUAUGAAGGCGAGAUUUCAUUUACUAAAUUCAUGAUUUUUUAUUGAUAUGAAUAGUGCAUUUAUGUCCACGGAAAGGUUGCUUUCUCUUCAUUUUGAUGUGCAAACUUUGUUUUCAAUUUAAUUCCCUUUUCUCCAUCCGUUUUGAUUUGUUUGUUUAAAUUGAUAACUUUUCCUGUGCUUUCUUGAUAAUUAUUCAAUAGCCUUUACUGCCAUGGUCGAUGGAAAAAGUCAGGCGAUGUUGACUGAGGAGCUUUCUGGGGGAGCCAGGAUCCGCUACAUUUUUCAGUCAAUUUUUGUAAAGGGCUUGGAGGUGUCAAAUCUAUUUUCGUGAAAACAUUCUAUUUUAAAUUUACUAUCUUUGAUUUGUUUAAACCUGAAGGCAUUUGUAACUAACAUUUCCUGUUGGUUUGUUCGCUGCCUCACUCAUAUGAAAGGACAUCCUUUUUCACUGAGCACCAAUAAAUUACAUUAUAAUGGUUGAUGUUAAUUCCGUUGUUUUUACUCUUUUAUUUGUUGAAAUCUGCAUUUGCUACUAACUGCAUUCGAGUCUUUGUAGGAAGUGGAUCCUUGUGAAGAUCUAACUGAUGAUGAUAUUCGAAUAGCAAUUCAAAAUGCUACUGGUCCUGGAAAUGCUUUGUUUGUGCCAGAGGCACCAUUUGAAGUUUUGGUUAGAAAGCAAAUGGCGCGACUGUUAGACCCUAGCCUCCAGUGCCUAAGAUUUGUUUACAAUGAAAUGAUAAAGAUGAGCCACUCUUGUCAAGCAGCUGAGUUGCAGAGAUAUCCAAAUCUGAGAAGGCAUCUAGCUGAAGUCAUAGGAAAGUUCUUGCGUGAUGGUGUUAAACCAGCUGAGAGUAUGAUAGCAAACAUUAUUGAGAUGGAGACGGAUUAUAUAAAUUCUUCACAUCCAAGAUUUAUAGGUGGGAAAAAAGCUGUUGAACUUGCCAUGCAACAACUUAAAUCAUCACAGGAAAGUCUUCCCCAGUCACAUAAUGACAAAACAUCAGCAGCGAGUAAUCUCUUGAAUGUGAAGUUUUCCAUGACAUGUGAAUCAGGUGGUAAUUCAUCCAGGGGUUGGGGCAUUCCUUCAGUGUUCGGAAGCAAGGCAUCGUCCAAUGAGAAUUCAUCCAGUGGAUCAUUAACAAAUUCAUCUAGCAAAUCUCUUGGUGGAACUUUAAAUAGUACAAAGCAUUCAUCAUCAACAAUCCAAUUGAGAGAGCCUCCAUCCAUCUUGAGGCCGCUAGAAGUGACAGAGCAUGAUGAAGCGGUGGAAAUAAUUGUAACCAAAUUGCUUUUGAGGUCUUACUUUGAUGUAGUCAAGGAUACCAUUCAAGACUUAGUUCCUAAAGCUAUAAUGCACUUUUUGGUCAAUCAUGCAAAGAGGGAACUUCAUAAUACCUUCAUACAAAAACUUUACAGGGAAAGCCUUUUUGAAGAGCUAUUGCAGGAACGGGAUGAGGUUGUUGCAAAAAGAAAACAUACCCGUGAACUUUUCCAUGUUUUGCAACAAGUAGUUCAGACACUGGAUGGGGUUGAAUCUGAACUGUCAUGUCAAUAUUCACAUUCAAGCAUGUUUAAAACUGAUUCUACCACAGGAUUGCCUCCAUGAUACUCAUCACAUCUUCAGUCAAGAACAGGUAAAAACAGGUCAUCUUACAUACUAUCUUCCAGGCACUCCAAAACCCCUAAAUUAUCUCAUCCAGAUGAGCAAUAGCAAUUGUUGUUUGUCAACAUCAAAUAUUGGAAUUGUUUCCUCGCAUUUUCUUUCCUGCAACUUUCCUCACUCUCCUAGGCGGAGGGCGAGUAAGUUUACAAGUGAUAUAUAGCAUUUCAGUGUCAGAGAAAUGGUGACAUUCGCCAUUGCCCAUGGGGUAAAGGGGUUUGAAAUUGUCAUGUAUGGUACUUGAAAAUUUUGCAGCAUUUUUCAAUGCUAGCACAUUGUCAUCUACGUGCUAUUAUCUGUAUGUUGUUCAAGU
rnacentral:misc_RNA from 1 species